rnacentral:ribozyme from 1 species
AGAUUUUUUUUCUCGUUUUUUUUUUUUUUUUUUUUUUUCAUGUGGCU